GAUAAACGCUGGCGGCGUGCCUAAUACAUGCAAGUCGAGCGAACGGACGAGAAGCUUGCUUCUCUGAUGUUAGCGGCGGACGGGUGAGUAACACGUGGAUAACCUACCUAUAAGACUGGGAUAACUUCGGGAAACCGGAGCUAAUACCGGAUAAUAUUUCGAACCGCAUGGUUCAAAAGUGAAAGACGGUCUUGCUGUCACUUAUAGAUGGAUCCGCGCUGCAUUAGCUAGUUGGUAAGGUAACGGCUUACCAAGGCAACGAUGCAUAGCCGACCUGAGAGGGUGAUCGGCCACACUGGAACUGAGACACGGUCCAGACUCCUACGGGAGGCAGCAGUAGGGAAUCUUCCGCAAUGGGCGAAAGCCUGACGGAGCAACGCCGCGUGAGUGAUGAAGGUCUUCGGAUCGUAAAACUCUGUUAUUAGGGAAGAACAUAUGUGUAAGUAACUGUGCACAUCUUGACGGUACCUAAUCAGAAAGCCACGGCUAACUACGUGCCAGCAGCCGCGGUAAUACGUAGGUGGCAAGCGUUAUCCGGAAUUAUUGGGCGUAAAGCGCGCGUAGGCGGUUUUUUAAGUCUGAUGUGAAAGCCCACGGCUCAACCGUGGAGGGUCAUUGGAAACUGGAAAACUUGAGUGCAGAAGAGGAAAGUGGAAUUCCAUGUGUAGCGGUGAAAUGCGCAGAGAUAUGGAGGAACACCAGUGGCGAAGGCGACUUUCUGGUCUGUAACUGACGCUGAUGUGCGAAAGCGUGGGGAUCAAACAGGAUUAGAUACCCUGGUAGUCCACGCCGUAAACGAUGAGUGCUAAGUGUUAGGGGGUUUCCGACCCUUAGUGCUGCAGCUAACGCAUUAAGCACUCCGCCUGGGGAGUACGACCGCAAGGUUGAAACUCAAAGGAAUUGACGGGGACCCGCACAAGCGGUGGAGCAUGUGGUUUAAUUCGAAGCAACGCGAAGAACCUUACCAAAUCUUGACAUCCUUUGACAACUCUAGAGAUAGAGCCUUCCCCUUCGGGGGACAAAGUGACAGGUGGUGCAUGGUUGUCGUCAGCUCGUGUCGUGAGAUGUUGGGUUAAGUCCCGCAACGAGCGCAACCCUUAAGCUUAGUUGCCAUCAUUAAGUUGGGCACUCUAAGUUGACUGCCGGUGACAAACCGGAGGAAGGUGGGGAUGACGUCAAAUCAUCAUGCCCCUUAUGAUUUGGGCUACACACGUGCUACAAUGGACAAUACAAAGGGCAGCGAAACCGCGAGGUCAAGCAAAUCCCAUAAAGUUGUUCUCAGUUCGGAUUGUAGUCUGCAACUCGACUACAUGAAGCUGGAAUCGCUAGUAAUCGUAGAUCAGCAUGCUACGGUGAAUACGUUCCCGGGUCU
rnacentral:rRNA from 1 species